GACGUAGGGCGCGAGCGUUGUCCGGAUUUAUUGGGCGUAAAGAGCGUGUAGGCGGCUUGGUAGGUCAGCUGUGAAAACUCGAGGCUCAACCUCGAGAUGUCGGUUGAAACCACCUGGCUAGAGUCCGGAAGAGGAGAAUGGAAUUCCCGGUGUAGCGGUGAAAUGCGCAGAUAUCGGGAGGAACACCUAUGGCGAAGGCAGCUCGCUGGGACGUUACUGACGCUGAGACGCGAAAGCGUGGGGAGCAAACAGG
rnacentral:rRNA from 1 species